rnacentral:lncRNA from 1 species
AUGGUCUUGGUCUCCCCAGGUGCGGAGGAGGCCGAGGGCGGCCUUGCCGGAGAACCGCUCGCCCCACCGCUGGACAAGCAGGACGUGGACUGCGGCGUGGGCUCUGCCCGGGAAAGGCACAGGAGCUCUGGAGCCACGAACCAACUUCCGGAGAAGCUACUUCUAUCCAGAGAAAGUGGAGGAGAGGCCAGGCCAGGAGAGCUCCAAGAGCCAACUCCGGAUCACAUCAGCACAGACAGAGAAGAGCCCGGGGCAUCGGGGGGAAGGAAGAGACCCGGGGCGGCCCAGCCCGGCGUCCGAUGGGGCAGCCGCCGAGGAGCUUCGGGGGACCCGGGCCCCCGCAGGGCGGAGUUCGUCGUCGGUGAGGAAAGGAGCGUGUCUGAACAAGGAGGCGGCCCCCUGGAACGCCGCCGUCUGGGGACAGACCCCAAAUUAGAGGCCUUCCGAUGGGAGUCCCGAGAUCUGAGUGAGAGUCCUGAGACCCCGAGGGCAAAAAGAUUCGCGCUCAAAGAUCUGAUGGUCUCGAGAUCCGCUCCCUGAGAUCCCAGAGUCCAGAGAGACCAGCUCUAAGAACCCCAAAAUCCCAGAGUCCAAAGAUACUAGAUCCAAGAGCUCCAAGAUCCGAGAGUCCCGAGAUCUGAGAGCUCAAACAUCUGACAGCCUCAAGGUCUGCUCCCCGAGUUAAUAAUUCUGGCAUUUCCUCUGGGCCUCAGUUACCUCAUCUCUAAAAUGGGGAUGAAGACUGUAAGCCCCACAUAGGACAACCUGAUUACCUUUAUCCACCCCAGCGCUUAUCACAGUGCUUGGCAUAUAGUAAGCGCUUAACAAAUACCAUCAUUAUUAUUAUUAUUAUUAUGAGC